UACUUACAUUUUUCCAGUGCAGAGGCUCCCUCGGUUCAGCUUACCUCUCUGACUCCCGGGAUGUCAUUGAGGAGGCAUAGCCUCCUCCGGUGAUGGUUCAAUCUUCUCAUAGACCUGAUGCACAUGCUCUGCAAGCACCCAGCUACUUUCCUAUGAGCAAUGAGCUGCUUUUCCAUGAGUUUCUUUGUUAGUGCAGCAAGCACCCAGCUACUUUCCUAUGAGCAAUGAGCUGCUUUUCCAUGAG